GGAUAAUGAAAUUUUAAAGGAUCAUGAUUGAAUUUUUCCAAAAUUACUUUCCAUAAAAUUAUUGCAUUGCUUGAGUUACUGGCAUAAAUUCAUGGUCCAUUCAGAAUUUCUUCUGUAAAUUGCCUAUGCAAAACUUAUUAUCUCCUAAAUGGGGACAUGGUAACUGUAUCCAUUGUGGGGCCCUGGAUGCAGUGGCUGUCUUGAAUCUGCUGCUCUGGACUUGGGGAAACCCUUAUCUGCCCUUCCGUUGUUGUUUUUCACCAACAGAGCAGUAACACUGAGAGGCUGAGAGAAGGGGUAGCCAGAGGGAAAGCGGUAAGAGAGGUUAUUGAUAUUGCCUUUAGCUUUUACUCUCCCAUGAUUAUAAACAGAAGGCCUCCUGGCUGGACCAGCACUCUAAUACAUUAUGUUCUGUAUCAUCAUGCCUUCAAAACUAAAAUUAGUUGCUGCCAUUUUCUAGAGUCUAGAUUUCUAGACAGCAUUCUCAAAAGGCUGAAGCUCCAUAGGGAUAUUGGCUUCAGAUGGGGCACCUGCUCUCCUUUCCAUAGUCCCCCACCUCCCCUCCCUCUCCAUUCUUCAGUGUACCUGCCUGGCCUCUUGUCUAAAGUUUCCUCCAGCCCAAACUAAAGGAGCCUGUCAGCUCAGGAGCACCCCAGGACAGUACUGAGAGAACACUGGGGUUUGGGACCAAAGUCCUCACUCAUCACUAAGGCAUUUUUUGCUUGGUCUUAUCCUCAGUGCUCAGCUCUCCCUUGACCGCUGGGCAGGAGUGGUGGUAGCCACAGCAGGUGGCUAAGAUCAUAGCCUUGUCUCCAUCCUCUUUCUCCAUAAAGAUAUAAUCAAGCACUCACCUGCAUAAACUCCACGCUGCUGUCCAGUGGGUUUUCCCGACGAAAGACCAGAAGAAAGUUUUCAUCCUCAGAUAAGAACAUACCAGCAAGCUAAAGGAACAGAAAAAAUAAGUCGGGGACCCUGGCCAGUGUCCAUUUAAGAAUGUUCUCUGGUAAAAGGCAUGGUGGUACGUCUUCCAGGGCGGAAGGUCUCAGAUCUUCCAGGAUGAACAGCUCAGUUUGCAGUUCUGUGCUCUUGAUUGACAUUCUUUGAUUCAUUUAUUCUUUCAGAAAGUAUCACACUCCUACUAAGUAUAAAUCGCUAUGGAUAUCUGCCUUCCACGAGCUUAAAAUCUAAGCUAAUGAUGAAUAUAACAUUAAUAUCAAUAAUAAAUUUGUUAAGUGUUGAUAUGUUCCAGGCACUAUUCUAAGAACUUCCAAUACUGAAUUAAUUUAAUUCCAUAGUAACAGAAGAUAAAAAUAGCAAAUAAUGCUUAUGUUUGCCAGGCAUUAUUCUAAAUGCUUGCAUAUGCUAAUUCAUUUAAUCCUAAUAACAAUCUAUGGGGUGCACAACAUACCAUUACUGUUAUUUUCCGGUGCAGGAAACUGGUCUAUACAGAGAUAAGGAACUUGCCAACAUUUUGUAAUUAGUGUGUGAUGAAGUCAGUAUUUCAGCUUGGCGAUCUCAAGCCCACACUUUUAAUCACUAUGGUUUACUGGUGAGAUGCUGUAUAUAUACAGUACUUCAGUGCAAAAGCAGGAAUAACUGCUGCCUGGCUUGAUACUUGAGUGUUAGCUAUGGUUUAUAUUUUUUUACAUUAUUAGUGUCUAUAAGAUACUACAACAGUUGACUCAAGUAUGAUAAAUUCAGCCAAUCAGCUUUUUAAUAUGAGCACCAGUUUGACUGAUUUACUUCAUGCACUCCCUUGAACAAAGGUAUAAUAAUAUCUUGUUCCCCUAUGUAGUUAUAAUACUUUUUUCAGGUUUGGCUGUGUUCAUUGCCAAGCCUAGGGUAUUGUAGUAUAUGUUGUCUUCUUUCUGAGCUGUUCCCAUAGACAAUGGUCAUUUCUUCUCUAAUGGAGUAGUUUGCUCAGUGUCUUGUACAAUACCACAGAGUGAGUCCACAGCAGAUGCUCCGGAAGGGAUUUAGGUGUAAUUAGCUCACAUUCUCAUUCACAUUUUCUAAUUGGAUGUGGGUCAGCUCGAGGACACAUCAUGUUAACAAUAACUACCAGAUUUUGAGUGCUUGCUACAUGGCAGGUACCAGCAAGAUGCUUUUUAGUUAUCAUCUCAUUAAGUCCUCACACCAGUUUUUCAGGAUGAGUAUAAAUAUCCCCUUUUUGUCAAUGGGAGGCAGUGCAGUUCAAAGUGUAAGUGAUAGGCUUUAGAGUGAAAUUAAAUUUCUUCUCCAUUACUUACUAAUGAUUUGACCUUAGGUAAUUUAGUUAAUAUAUCUAUGCCUCAAUUUCCUCAUUUGGAAAAUGGAGAUAAUAAUAUUGAUAUCCUGGUCCAGAUGGGAAGACUAAAAGUAAGAUGAGCCAGUAUUUAUAAACUGUUUAGGAAAAUACCUCAUACAUAUCAAAUAGUCAAUAAAUGAUGACUGCCAUGUUGGUGAAGAUGAUAAAAUUGAGGCUCAGAGAAAUUAAGUAACUUGCCUAAGGUUUCAUAUUCCACCAUAUUGACUUCAUGCUUUUCCCAUCAACCUACACAGGGUCAACUGGAACAGGGAACUGUUCUUUGAGACUAGCGGUGGCCUUUUUCCCAUCUUAUUUUUUACUAGAAAAUCCAACAUGAGCCAAGGUGGGCUGAUUUUUAUGUCACGACUACCUGUAAUUGGAGUAAGUGAAAUGGUCAAUAGUACAGCAAGGGAAUGUAGGGGAAGCAAAAGGCCUUGCUGCUCCUUAGACUCACAGACUCAUAAGGUUUUAAGGAGCCUUGGGAACGAUGCAGUCAUGCACCAUCAGCUUUCGAACAAACAACAACCUCAAUGACACUCAUAUGCAGAAUUACAAGACAAAAAUGGUUGGCCAAUUACUGGGGAAUGUCUUCUGUUAUUAGUAAGAUAAUGACAUAGUUUUCAGUUAUUUGCUAUGUUUUGCUCAUUCAUUAAUUAGGUCAAGAAAUACUGAGCCCUACUAUAUGCUAUGCUCUGUUCCAGGGUCUGGAAAAUUACAACAGUGAACAUGUAGUUAUGAAUCUUUUGUUUAGUACACCUAACUUGCUGUUUGCAUUUACUGUGCUGUUGAUGCACACAUUGAUACUUUUACAUCCAGUAUAAUCAUAAUUUUUGGUUACAUAUACAAUUUUGCCUUUGAUUAAAAGUUUGGAAACAGCUACACUCAUAAAUCUAGAGUUUAGUUUAUUCGUUUUCUGAAAAGGCAGUCUGCUGGUGAACACGCACACUUUUUAUAAAGGGAAAUUAUCCUGCCCUAUUAACAUAACUUCCUGAAGAAAUUGUCCUAUUAUUCUUUUCAAUAAUAUGGACUGCUCAGAUAUGGCAGUGUCACAACAUCAAGAGACUAGCUCUCCCAUUGUCAGGUAAUAUGUCUAACAGGCAGUUUUGACUAUGAAAAAAUAUCUUAGUUUCAGAUUGACUCAUUUUCACAUACAGAUUUAUAGCUACAUAGUAUGAACCUGUAUAGAUUCCUAUCUAUAAGCAGAGUUCCACUAAAACCAUUGCCACUUAUUUGGUCAUGUCAUUCUAGGAAAGUAACUCAAGUCCUUAUCAGCAAAAUAGGGAUAAUGUUCCAUGCCUAUCAUCAUCUUAACUACUACGGGAAUACAAUAAUAAAAUAUAUGUGGAAGUCCUUUCUAAACUGUAAACAUUUUUGUAACUGGAAGGAGAAAUGAUCAGGGAAAAAAAAAUAAUGAGAAGGGAGAAAUAAUUAAAGAGGAGACCAAAGUAAUAAGGAUUGGUGUGGAUACUGGAUAUAUAGGGAACUGCCAAGUUUCAUGUCAGUCAGUAGUUUGCCUCUUCCCUGUUCAAUCAUACACAAACUUUUGUCAGCAACAAUGCUUCUAAGGUUAGCCAAGGCCUCAGAUGAAGAUAUCUCACAGCAUCCUCAGCUUAGAGCAGACCCCAACUCGAUGAAUGAAAAUUAGAUACUCCAGCUUCAACACUGAUAGCAAUUUUUCUCCUCCCUUUUAUAAAUCACUAGAGCAAGGAGCCCUCUGAAAAGGUGAGAAGUCCAGGUCCCUGAUGAUAGAUUUUUAGGAGCUGACCAUCCCAUUUAUUCCAAGAUUUUGAAUGGUUUUAACUUUGUCUUUUUGCCUUCCUCAAAUACCCAUGUUCAUGAUAGAUAAGAUGGGUUCCUGGAGCAUGAUGAGCCUUACAUUUACAGAUAUAAAUAGAAGCCCUAUGGACAAGGCUGGUGGGCUUCACCACGGGCUGCUGGCAUGUGAAACUGGCUGCAAGAUUGAGGCAGAAGCCUCACUUGGUGGAGGCUUCCUCAGCUCUACCUGUAGCUUGUGUAAGUACAAGAAUGAAGGAUAAAAACGAGUGUGUGCAAGUGGUCUGACGAGAGGAAAGAAGGGACUCAUGUCUCUAUCCUUCUCAUCUGCUGAUCCUUUCACUUCACAGGCUGCACAGGGUAAGGGGUGGAAUGCAGGCAGACAAAGAGCAAUAAAAGGUAAAGAAAAAGGGAGAUGAGGCAAAGAAAGGGGUGAAGGAGAAAAUGAUGAGGAAAGAAGUGAAAGUCAAAAAGAGAGAUAAGAAAGAAAGAAGAAAUAAAAGACCUGGGGAAAGGAGAGAACAAAAGAGCUUUGAGAAGCAGAGAGACUGGAAAAAGAGUGGGAAAACAAAGAGACAGACAGAUGGAGAAACAAAUGAGAAACAGAUAUAAGAAAGAGACAAGAAAGAUGAGCGACAGAGAGGUCAGAGAGAAAGGAAGAAACAGUGGGAGAUGAGAGCCAUGAAACACAGAGAUGAGAAACAGAAGUGAGCAGAAAAAUGACAGAGACAGACAUAAAAAAGAGAGACAGAAUAUGAGAGGCAGACAGAAAUAGAGGGGGACCAAGAGAUCUGUGCGGCUGAAGGGGGCAGAUGUCAGCCCCUUUGUUUCUGAACUGGCUUCCUUUGCACCCCCCAUCCCAUACCCUUUCCAUGUUCUCAACAGUGGUGAGGAGCUCCUUGUUCCCUCACUGAGCUCUCACAUGAGAAUGUGAUGCACUUCUAUUCUUCAGAUAAACAGCUAAAGGAUAAGGACAAAUUAUCUCCAUCAUUCAUUUAAAUUCAGUUGUUCCUAGAGCGUCUCCUUCUACUAUGCAUGCCCUGCUGGAGCUUUCAUCAGAUCGAGCCCAUCCCCAGGCUGGCCUCUGCUCAUGUGUUUCUGUGUAAAAUUUUUCUCUGCUUUGGUACAGAGACUUUCAAGAGUUCACUUACAUCUCCCAAGGACAGAUUUACCAUCAGAUGGACACUAGAUAGAUUGGCUUCCAUUUAUAUCUGGGCUCUGGGUAUGCUGGCUGUUUCCUGGUUUGUCAUUCCCUGAAAAAUCUGUAACCUCUUCUAAUAAAAUGAAUAAUGGAAAAAUGA